AACUCGGUGGUGAAGGCAUCACAUCCGCCGCAGUUAACCCUGUUGCCCUCGAUAUUAAUAAUAUGCGGAAGUUGCCCGUUCGACCCGGGCCCGAGUUA